AGUGAACGCUGGCGGCGUGCUUAACACAUGCAAGUCGAACGAGAACGGAUUAUAGCUUGCUAUAAUUGUCAGCUAAGUGGCGCACGGGUGAGUAAUAUAUAGAUAACCUGCCCUCUAGAAAGGAAUAACAGUUGGAAACGACUGCUAAUGCCCUAUAUGCCUUUAAUACAUAAGUAUGCAAGGGAAACGCUUUAGUGCUAGAGGAUGGGUCUGUAUGGUAUCAGCUUGUUGGUGAGGUAAUGGCUCACCAAGGCUAUGACGCCUAACCGGUUUGAGAGGAUGAUCAGUCACACUGGAACUGAGACACGGUCCAGACUCCUACGGGAGGCAGCAGUGGGGAAUAUUGCACAAUGGACGAAAGUCUGAUGCAGCAACGCCGCGUGGAGGAUGACACAUUUCGGUGCGUAAACUCCUUUUAUAUAGGAAGAUAAUGACGGUACUAUAUGAAUAAGCACCGGCUAACUCCGUGCCAGCAGCCGCAGUAAAAC
rnacentral:rRNA from 1 species